rnacentral:rRNA from 1 species
UACGGGGGGGGCAAGCGUUGUUCGGAAUUACUGGGCGUAAAGGGCUCGUAGGCGGCCAACUAAGUCAGACGUGAAAUCCCUCGGCUUAACUUGGGAACUGCGUCUGAUACUGGGUGGCUUGAGUUCGGGAGAGGAAUGUGGAAUUCCAGGUGUAGCGGUGAAAUGCGUAGAUAUCUGGAGGAACACCGGUGGCGAAGGCGGCAUUCUGGACCGAAACUGACGCUGAGGCGCGAAAGCCAGGGGAGCAAACGGG